GGGAUCAUUACCGAGUUAUACAACUCAUCAACCCUGUGAACAUACCUAAAACGUUGCUUCGGCGGGAACAGACGGCCCCGUAACACGGGCCGCCCCCGCCAGAGGACCCCCUAACUCUGUUUCUAUUAUGUUUCUUCUGAGUAAAACAAGCAAAUAAAUUAAAACUUUCAACAACGGAUCUCUUGGCUCUGGCAUCGAUGAAGAACGCAGCGAAAUGCGAUAAGUAAUGUGAAUUGCAGAAUUCAGUGAAUCAUCGAAUCUUUGAACGCACAUUGCGCCCGCCAGUAUUCUGGCGGGCAUGCCUGUUCGAGCGUCAUUACAACCCUCAGGCCCCCGGGCCUGGCGUUGGGGAUCGGCGAGGCGCCCCCUGCGGGCACACGCCGUCCCCCAAAUACAGUGGCGGUCCCGCCGCAGCUUCCAUUGCGUAGUAGCUAACACCUCGCAACUGGAGAGCGGCGCGGCCACGCCGUAAAACACCCAACUUCUGAAUGUUGACCUCGAAUCAGGUAGGAAUACCCGCUGA
rnacentral:misc_RNA from 1 species